AUAAACACAUGGUAAGAUUAAGAUCCCAUAAUCACAAAGGUGGUUUUCCCAGGGCAAGUUUUAUCCAUUGCACUCCGGAUGUGCUGACACUGUGAUUUCCCCAAAUGUAGGAAACUCAACUGCACAGUUUGUGAUAGUGGGGGACAGCAUUCGCUCUUUCCCCUG